rnacentral:rRNA from 1 species
UACGUAGGGUGCGAGCGUUGUCCGGAUUUAUUGGGCGUAAAGAGCUUGUAGGCGGCUCGUCGCGUCGGGUGUGAAAACUUGCGGCUUAACCGCAAGCCUGCACCCGAUACGGGCGGGCUAGAGUUCGGCAGGGGAGACUGGAAUUCCUGGUGUAGCGGUGGAACGCGUAGAGAUCCGGAAGAACACCGGUGGCGAAGGCGGCCUGCUGGGCAGUUGCUGACACUGAGGCGCGACAGCGUGGGGAGCAAACAGG